rnacentral:rRNA from 1 species
UACAGAGGGGGCAAGCGUUAUUCGGAAUUAUUGGGCGUAAAGGGCGCGUAGGCGGCUUGGCAAGUGGAAGGUGAAAUCCCUCGGCUUAACCGAGGAACUGCCCUCCAAACUGCUUCGCUUGAGACCGGGAGAGGUGAGUGGAAUUCCCAGUGUAGCGGUGAAAUGCGUAGAUAUUGGGAGGAACACCAGUGGCGAAGGCGGCUCACUGGACCGGUACUGACGCUGAUGCGCGAAAGCGCGGGGAGCAAACGGG